UACGUAGGGUGCGAGCGUUAAUCGGAAUUACUGGGCGUAAAGCGUGCGCAGGCGGUUCGCCGUGUCCGAUGUGAAAGCCCCGGGCUUAACCUGGGAAUGGCAUUGGAAACUGGCGGGCUGGAGUAUGGGAGAGGGGGGUGGAAUUCCACGUGUAGCAGUGAAAUGCGUAGAGAUGUGGAGGAACACCGAUGGCGAAGGCAGCCCCCUGGGCCAAUACUGACGCUCAGGCACGAAAGCGUGGGGAGCAAACAGG
rnacentral:rRNA from 1 species